GUUUAUUUGGAGCUAUAAGUAAUUUGGCCUGCCCCCUGAUGUUUAAGGGCCGCAGUAUUAUAACUGUGCAAAGGUAGCAUAAUCAUUAGGUUUUUAAUUGGAAUCUUGUAUGAAUGGUCGGACAAAAGAAAAGCUGUCUUUAUUUUAAAAUUUGAAUUUAACUUUUAAGUGAAAAGGCUUAAAUAAACUAAAGGGACGAUAAGACCCUAUAAAACUUUACMUUGUAAUUAUAUUUUAGUAAAUUUUAAAAAUUUAAUUUGGUUAUUUGUUAGGCUGGGGAGGUACGAAUAAAAACUGUUUGAUAAAAAUACAAUAAUUAAUGAUAAAAGAUCCUUUUUAAAGAUUAAUAGAUUAAGUUACUUUAGGGAUAACAGCGUAAUUUCUUUUGAGAGUUYUUAUCGAAAGAGAGGAUUGCGACCUCGAUGUUGAAUUAAAAUAUUCUAUAUAAUGAAGAGGUUAUAUAAGAAGGUCUGUUCGACCUUUAAAAUUUUACAUGAUUUGAGUUCAAACCGGUGU
rnacentral:rRNA from 1 species